CUCUGGUACAGAUUUAAUCCGGUUUAACACGAGAUGAAUUAACGGAUACCAACAGAGUUAUUUUUGAAUAUCAGAGAAAUAUACCAGGGGUAUAUUUGAAACAAAAAAAGUAGGGAUAUAUAAGAUAUUUUAGAAGUUUUGAGAGAUAUAUAGGUAAUUAUUUCUUAAUUAUAAGGUUAGAUUAAUGCAGCAGAAUCAUAUAAAAUAAAGGGAUAAUAUCUAAUAUGUCUUUGAAAAUUUAAAAAUAU
rnacentral:lncRNA from 1 species